rnacentral:lncRNA from 1 species
GCCCACUGCAUCCUCAUGCUGGCAGCCUCACCAUCUUCCCGGCAACCAUUCUGCGCCAGCCCCAUCCACCCUAUUGGAACCUCUCCAUCUCUGGGCAUCUUUCCGGCCACUUUUUUGAGCGUCUUCUUGACCACCUUCCCUUGCUUGCCACCUCGAGGCAUUGGCUCAGCCAUCUCUCACUACUAGCUAUCGAGCUGCUGCCCCAUACUUGCAUGUUACCUCCAAAUGCCAACUCGGCCGUCUUUCUAUGGAGCCCCCCC